GUGGCGAGGCGAGGCGCUGGCGCGUGCUGGAUGGCUGAGCGGUACGGAUAAACGGGGAGAGCUGGAGGGGAGAAAUGGUAACGUUUACACAGGGGAAAGGGAACGAGGUCGCCAACAGCGAAUCCUGAUUGCAGUGGCUUUUAGUGAAAACACGGUUUUUAGGUGAAAACACGUUCCAAACCAUGAGAAGUCUCAAAAUUGCAGGAUCUCGAAGGCAGGAAGAGAAGGAUGAUCUGAUAGAGUUUCACUGAAUGCGAGACGGGCCGUUCCUUUAGUUGAGAAAGGCAGAGGAACUUCAUCCAGCAAAGGAUGCAACUUGUGCUAACGUUUGCAGCUAAAAUAUGGACAGCUUUGUUUUGUUUCUUUAGUAAUAUCUACCUUACGUGACACUUACAGUGGUUUGGAAUUUGUCCUCAGUUCCUACUGUGUUUAGCUUUCCCCUAGGUGGCACCAGGACCCACAGAACUGCCCACGUACGCUUCUGAAAAGGCUGCUGAUGUGACUGUGGAGAGACAAACACAUUUUUGAGCGCAAUGUAGUGGCCCAUCCUUUAAACACUUGUACCAUUUCUCCGGAGACAGCGUUGUUGUCCUACUAAGUCACAAAUGCUAGUGGUUAGAACUCGGUCAACCGAUGAUUUUAGUAGUAGGAACUACUCAUUACCUGCAAAAUUAGUUUGGAAUCGUCUGGUGGUGAUAACUCAAUUCCUUUGCAGUGAAGUGAGGAAUGCCAUAGGCUGCAGCAUACUUGUGCUCCACUGGGUAACAAGGACCUGCUGUUCGUGUAAGUGCUUCCUACCACAGCUCCAAUCCUGGUCCCGCUGGCAGUGCUACCACUUCUGCAUCUAUCCCUUCUCUUGCUGUUAAGAGCGGGGGCAGGUGAGACACAUGAAAGUUCUGAUUCUCAAACACUAAGUAUGAAGCAUUUAAUCAGCUCUUCUGAAAAAAAAAAAAAAACCAUCUAAUUCACUCUUCUAGGAGGACUACGCUGUGACAUCAUUAGAUUCAUGUUUUGUCUUCGUACUCAAGGAGAAAGUAAACUGCUUCCUCGUUGGAACAAUUCCUCUUUGGCAACAGAGAUUUGAUGAUGAAAGGGAAAAAAAAAAGCUGUUCCUAGCCCCUAGUUUUGUGUCAGUUAUUCAUAUCUGGAUAAGAGUGUCAGAUACUUUAGUAAGUUACUUUAGUAAAUUACUAAUGUUGAUGUCUAGAUUUCUUACUACAAUAAUGGGUAUGUUGUGAGCUCUUCUAGAGCCAGUGUUUCCACCACUGUUUCAUUAAAGCACAAUAUAAUUUGGCAGAAAAUAAACCCCUUGUGUUCCAGACUGUGCUCAGAUAUUGGAGGGACGGCUGGGCUUAGAUUCUAAGUGGUGCCCAAUUCAGUGAUAAUAGCCCAGCCACAUAUAUUGAACUAUCACUAUUACAGAUGUACUAAUAACAUGAGACGCUUUCAAUCUAGUUGUGUUCAGUGAACUCCCAUGGUCAUACUUAAGGAACCUGGUUGUGUUCAGUGAGAACUCUCAUGGCUAGAUUCAUGAAUAGUGUAGUUUAUUGAAGCAGCAGAUGCGCCAGUGCUUGGGAUUGCUGGUGAUAAAUUUACCGUCUGCAAAGCAUAUGCAAAGGAAGGAGAAGCCUG